UGCUUUAAAUGUGGCAGUUUCCCCUGUGCCCUCUUUCUUUCCUGCUGCCUUGUGAAGAAGGUACUUGCUUCUCCUUCGCCUUCUGCCAUGAUUGUAAGUUUCCUGAGGCCUCCCCAGCCACGCGAACUAGUUUUUUUCUUGGAGUCUUCCAGGUUUUCAGGAUUACACCUAUAGAAAGAUGGAAACUGAGAAGGCUAAAAGACAGAGAUCUGUGAGAAUUAAUUCAUCUUUCUAUGUAAUAAUCUCCUAUGCAAAUGUAUAAGCUCCUCGGGAGCAGAAAUUUUGUUUUUUCUGAAUAUCUGCAAUACACAGCAAAAAUCAUGUGCAUUUAGGAUCCGUUUAACUACAAAUGGCAGAAAACAUAGCUACAAAUUGGCUUAACUAAUAAAAG